ensembl:lncRNA PURPL p53 upregulated regulator of p53 levels
GGGUGGAGCCAUGAGGAAUUCAUGCCUUGCAAAGGGGAGGAGCCUGCCCUCUUGAGCUCUUGUGGUGACCUGGGAAUCAAUGUGUGAGGUGGUGCUAUGUAGCAGGAACCCCUCUUGCUUUGCAAAUAGUUUUUUGUUUGUUUUCCUUUUUGCCCAAUAGAGCCCUGCUCUACUGACCCUUCAAUGUGCCCGUGUGCCUAAAUAUUCCUGGUCGUGUGAAAAGAACCCAGGUAUUAGCUGAACUAAGGAGCACAAUUCUGCAACAUUUUGGCACCCAAACACGGGGCUUGAGAAAUGAAUGCAAUUGGAGAAACUGGUUGUUUUACCAGGCGUUGAUUGGAAAUGUGUGCUUCCCUUUAAGCAGUCAAGCUCAACUUGCAGAACUGAUGGGAACCCCUUGGGAAAACUGGCCUCAAAUGUUUGUCUACACAGUCCACAUACAGGGUUCUUAACCUGCGCAUAUUUAACUAUCCGGCUAUUUUGGAGAUUGAAAAAAGAAGACCUGAUUUAUCAUGUGCAAUAUCUCACACAUCUGUCAUUUCUAUUCUACCGCAAUUCGAUGGAGUCUUGUUCUGUGGUCCAGGCUAGAGGGCAGUGGCAUGAUCUCGGCUCACUACAAGCUCUGCCUCCCGGGUUCACGCCAUUCUCCUGCCUCAGCCUCCUGAGUAGCUGGGACUACAGGCGCCCGCCACCACGCCUGGCUAAUUUUUUGUAUAUUUACUAGAGAUGGCUAGUGUUAGCCAAGAUGGUCUCGAUCUCCUGACCUCGUGAUCUGCCCACCUCAGCCUGCCAAAGUGCUGGGAUUACUGGCGUGAGCCACCGUGCCUGGCCAGCAUCCUCUAAUUAUUAUUCAUAGUUUGUGAAUUUAGGCCUACGUGAAUAAUAAUAUAAUAUUUACUAUGAUGUUACUAUCUACCAACCUUAUUUUUCUUUUCUAUAAAAUAGGAGCCAAAAUAAUAUUUAUGUCAUACCUUAUGAAGUUAAAAUAAAAUAUAACGAAUGAGGGGCUUAACAAUGAGUGUCAUUUUGUAAUUACUUUGUACCAUUAUUAAUUGCUGAGACAGAAUAUGGUAUCACUAGUCAUCUGUAUCUAUUGCACAACUUUAUUUUGAUUCAUUCCUUACUAUUUUGCAUAGAUAGGCCUAAAUUUUUGAUCCACUGCUCAACUCCUGUCUUUAAACCAUUGGUUCUCAAAUAGAGUUGAUUUUGACACCUAGGGAACAUUUGACAACAUAUGGAGAUAUUGUUGAUUUUACAGGGCAACCCUUCAUAAGCACAGAAUUAUCUGGCCCCAAAUGUCGACAGUGUCAAGUUCGAGAAACUCUGCACUAGGCUUUUCUGUCUGGUUACUCACCCCUCUUCUUUGCACUGCCCCCAGUUUUAUGGAUAUUGAAUUCCUGAUUUCUCACUAUAUUAAUUGCACUUAUAGAUAUUCUAAAUUGAUUUGUAUAUAUCUUCCUAGUUUGACCCAUUGCUUUUAACUGAAUUUUACUGGGCUUUUAUAAAGGCCAUUUCCAUGGAGUUUAGUCAUUAUCUUCACCAAAUUUUUAUUUGCUUCAGUCUGGGGAGGAACUCUAUAUUAAAAAAUAAAAACAAACCCAAAAA